CUCCUUUCUUUUCUCGCCCUAUCACUCCAAAUCAACCCUACCAAACACACCCUAAACUUCCCAACUACAUCGUUACUGGACAGUUCUGCCAUUAACAAUCGACGCGCCAAACAGUUCCCAAAAUGAGAACCCUCACUCGAUCAAUCAUCUUCUCUUAUACUUUCUCUUUCAUCUCCCUCUUCACUCCCCGUCUUGGGCGUCCAAAUCAAAGCUUGAAAAGUGCGAAAACGUUUCCUAUUCCAGUACCCUCAAUUGCACAACCAAGAUCCUCAUUGGCAUGGCCGUCCCAAGUGAAUCAGAGUAUUAUGUUAAGACACACAAAUGUGGGCCAGAUUAUGGUGCAGAUGUUGUGAAUAUAUGAGGCAAGUAACUCUUGUUCUUUUAUUUGAAUCUUCAGCCACCUCUUCAUAUGUAAAUUUUGAACUUAAGAUCACGUUACUUGUUAAGUGUUAAUCUUGUUAUACAUAUUGUUUGGUUUCGAUGUAAUUGUGCCAUUUUAAGGUUAGGAUUUGUGUUUACAGUUCACAUGCAUUUUUUUUUUUUAAGAGUUCAACAUGACAUUUAAGAUGAUAUUUGAGAUCACUUUAUUCUUGUUAUGUUCAAUUUGUGAUAUGUAGUUCCUGUAUUUUUUAGUUCACCUCAUUGAUGAAAUUUUAACUUGCCAAUUUGAUUUUUUAUUCAAAAUGUACAUUGAUUAUCAUUAUUAUCUUCACCAUGUUCAUAAGGACAAGUACAAACAUGGUCUAAUUUUCGAAAAAAAAAAGAAAGUACAAACAUGGUCAAACCAAGAGUUCUAGUAUCUCGCAGCAAGUUUACUUGCAGAAAGGCAAUGGUCCCUGUACGCAAAAAAGAAAGAGAAUCCAAUAUUAUCAUACAUAGUGAUAAAAGCCCAGACAUUUUUUCCCCCUGAAGGGAUGACUUGAUAAAAACAACAAAUAAAUUACAGCACAAGGAGGAGGCAUACCCCCUAAAUUAAAAAACUGGAAUGGAAAAAGCCCAUUUCCAGUUAACCCGAAACCUAAUAACAAGAACACUAGCAGCCAACAUCAAGAAUGAAAAAUAGCAAGUGAAAGUCUGCUAAAUUAAAAUUAAAAUGAUGAAGAACAUCCCAAACAAUGGCAUUGGCUGUGGAAUAAGGCUGAGCUGAUGUCCCGUAAUGCAGAGAUGCAUUUCAACCAAGACGAAAAUUACAAGUACAAGCAUAGAAUAUUGGAACCUCUUGGUGUUUUGCUUCAGCGAUACAAGUGACUUGCCUGUGCAUAAUCCAGGUUUGAUAAAAUAGAGUUGGAUGCUGUUUCCUGUUGCUUAUUUUUCUCAGAGAUCCGAACAUGAAAGCCAUUUGGAAAUUGUAAACCGGGAGUCCGGACAAUGCCACCUCCUCUAAUUGCUUGCCACCUGACAAUUUCAGAUGUAAAAUAGGUUAGCUUCUCUCUCUCUCUCUCUCUCUCUCAUACAAAGUUGCUUAUACAAUACCUGAAUAGAUGACGCUCUUACCCGUACUUUGUCACCAAACAGUGGAGAAAUACAGCCAUUUGCACCUUAGCAAAAUCUGCUCCCACACAAAAUCUCACGCCCCCUCCAAAAGCCAUGAAUUGUUUAGAUGUAAGAUUCAGUUCCAUUCCCUGUGUGCCGUUAUUUAUCAUACUACAUGAGAAUUUAAAAGAAAGAACAAUAGAUUUAAGCAUGGACGAUAAGUUUCUUAUUGGCAGUGAACUACUUGCAAUAAUUAAGAUUAAUUAAAGAGCAGGUAAAUUUGCAGUACUCUACUUACUUUCCAUCUCCAUGGAUUGAAGUCAAGGGGAUCCUUAAAUUUGUCAGGGUUCAAGUGUACAGCUGGAGGACAGACCAUAACCGCCCAAUCAGCUGGAAUGGUAUAGCCUGUGCCAAUCCGAAGUUCAUAUUAAGAGAACAUUUUGAGCUUGUCAACUGGAGUAAUAUGAUAGGAUGUGAAGACAUAAUAAAGGUUGUCAUAGUGAAAGAGGCAUUAAUUUUACUGACUGUUAUUUCCUUCAACACCAAAGGAUGGUCCAAAAGAAAUUUGGUGCCAAAGGUUAGAGCGAGGGAAGUUGUCUCAAAGCUGGCAAACAGUAGCUCAAACAUUAAAUCCAGAGCAAUUGCUUCUGUAAGGAUUGUAUUCUCUUUCACAAGCUCUUCAAGGAUAUAAUCAAAGAAAUCACUUUGUUGCUUCCUAGGAUUUGCUCGUCUGUCCUCAAGCAUGUGCUUCAGCAUCCUCAUUGCCUUCUUCCUUCCCCGAAGAAACUCAGAAGAUUCAAAACUAAUGGCGGACCAGGUUUUUUUGGAAACCAAUGUUGAAAAUAAUUUACCGCAUUAAACAGUUUUUGACUAAGAAUUGGCAUUACAAUAUCUUCUAGUUUACCAAACAAUUUCAAUCUGCCAAUCUAUGCUUGGAAAAAUUCAGUCUUAACUAGCCAUAUUUUCAGCUUUUCCGGAUGCAUAAUAAUUUAAAGUAGAAUGAAUUAAUGUGAUUUAAAUGAUCAAGAUUAGUGUGGACGAUUUUGAUAUACCUGUAGACAUUUGUGGUAAGCAGUUCCAGGAAUAUCUAAAGGGAAGGAGAUUAAUCCCUGCAUGAAAAGCAACGAAGUUCUUCCACAGAAUUUCUGAUGACUUCUCUGAAUCAUAACUGAUUAGUUUUUUGGCAGUCAGAUCCAAUAUCAUCUGUAAACACAGAAAUGUUAGCAGACUCGUAAUGACAAAGGGUUGGUGAAUUUCUAAUUCGAAGAGAAAAUAUCAGAUUGCAUAAGCUUACACUUGCAGUUGCAUUCUUCAAUUCAACUGUGUGCUGACUCGGCCACCUCUUUAAGUUUCUACAUACUGUCUGUUCAACUUCAGGAAUCAUCCUUUUCAGGCUUUCAUGACCAAAAAGAUUCAGCACCAUGCUCUUGAGGCAUUUAUACAUAAACCCAUGCAAGGAACUCACACUUUGUCGUCCCAAGAUCUCCAUGAAGGUAUCUGGAUACCAGCUCUGGAACAGUCGUCCCUCUUUUUGAAAAAUGAAGUAAUUAAGAUCCGAGUCUGUGGAUACAAUUACUGGUUGUCCGACCAAACUGGUUCGGAAUAUUGGCCCAUAUCUGAAAAAUAAUAGUAAAAAAUUACAUUAUAAGAAGAAGGAUGAGAAUGCUGAUAAAGAUUGCGCUACUCUGUUAACAUGUUUGUCUGUUGGUUAUAAUGAGUCUAUAUAGCUUAGCAGUUGCAAUAUAUAGGGAAGUAUUGACUUCUAUGUCUUUGCCUAUGAACAGAUUCCCUAUAUAUAUAUAUAUCUAUAUAUUUUUUUGAUGCGGAACCUCACAACCACCAGCCUUUUGAACUUGUGGCUUUUAGGUAAAUUCUGAAUAUAUGCAACCGCCAACAAGCCACACUUAUCGGUUAAGGAGGAAUAUCUGAGGAAGUGUUGGGUGCAAAGAACUGAAGAGUCUCGCCGAGGAGGGGCAAGCCCAUUGAACCUGGAGGGAGUUUUCCAUUGCAUAACGGAUUCCUCCAGCGGUAAACCCAAUGUGUAAUGCUUAUAAUAACCAGAGCUCCUUUGCACAAAGCAAUUGGUCCCAUCUUGAAUUGAGAAAAUUUAGAAGGCGGCAAGAGAAGCUUGAAGUGUGAAAAUUUUAGAAUUCUGUACUUACUUUCUGGUACAAGAAAGUGUGUGUUGAGAUAAAGAUAAAUUCAUGAGAAUGUAUCGUAUUUUAAAUAUGCGAAGGACAUAGAGAAGAAACCAAGAGAGAAUAAACUGAUUGUUGAAUAAGUAUAGAAUUAGGUUCCCAAGAGAGACAACGAACUAUAUAUAUUCACUUUCUUCCAAUGGCACCAAACUCACUCCAUCAAACGGUGUGUUAUUGUUCGCAUUUUAUUUGAGUCAGCGCGAUUUUUUUUUUUCUUCUUUAGUUUUAUUCUACAAGACUUCAUACAAUUUGGAGAUGGUACCAGCAAAUUUAACCACUUCACCUUUACCUCGAGUUAUAAAUUGAACAAUCGCACAUCAUUAGAAAAAAAACCAUGCAGAUCGGGCUCAAAGUGGACACUAUUGUACUAUGUGAUGGAUUGGGUCUUUACAAAAUUGUAGUGAUCCCAAAUUGUCUAGAUCAGGUGAAGAUGAAGAUGAAUUACUUAUAUAUACCGAUGCUAUCUCCUAAUGAUAUGAGAUCUUUUGGAGUAAAACUCAAAAAUAAAAUCACACGGGUUCAAGUGAAUACUGACAAUAUCAUAUCACGUGGUGGAUUAAUGUUGUACCACAUCGAAGGAUGAUUGUAGCAACCUAUGUGGAUGAGCUACACAUUGGGUUGUCCAAUGCACCAAUCAACAAUUCAUUACGUUACAUAUUUUUGCACCCUGCUCAAUAUGCAUUCACAUACAAGGCAUUCAUUGGAGGUUCUACAAAUGGAGUCCUUCACCCUCAUUGAUGAUAACCUGUACCGGAUCAGAUCACCGAUGCUUGCUAAAACUGCCCAUUGAGUCGAAUUUCUUGCUUUAAAGAAGGCUAUGGCAUUAUGUUCCAUCCAAAUUUGAUUCACACCAGUGGACAAUGCAAAUGCUAGUUUGUUGACUGAAUUUUGGAGGGUUUUCUUCUUCUAGUGGUGCAAAGCCCAAACAAUCAAGUGAUCCCACGAAACACGGAGAAUAUGGAAAUUACAUUUUGUCACCAUAUUAUGUAAGACACACAUAUGUGAAUAAGGCAAAGGUAGCACCCCAGGUGUAUUAUGUAAGACACACAAAUGUGAGCCAGAUGCUGGUGCAGAUGUUGUUAAUUUAUGCGAGAGGCAAGUAACUCUUGUUCUUUUAUUCGUACCUUCAACCACCUCUUCUUAUGUAAAUUAUGAAUUUGAGAUCACUUUAUUCUUGUUAU